CAUGCACACACACACACACAAACACAGGAUUAACAAAAGAACACCAUCUGUCAGCCCAACUCCAGCCCACACAAAACAUCCCAUUGAAAUACAGUGGAGGAUCUGUACUCUACAUACCAGCACUAGAAUAGGGCAACCAGCCAAUCCUCCCUUCCCCAUAGCAAAACUUUUUUUUUUAACAGAAAAUGAAAAACAAGCAGUUCUUAUUGGACAAGUUCAUGUAGUUCUUCCCUGUUUCACUCUGUUUUCUUCCGUUCUGUGAUGUAUGAACAUGACCCUAGCCUAUCUAAUGGGUUUCAGGAAGGCUGGCUGUGUGUGGUGUGCUUAAUGCCUGGUAAACUGUUUAUCCGGCCUGAUCCCACCCCUAUCACAAGACUCCUGUCACGUGACUACCCUCCUUGCCCACCUCAGGGCACUCUAUAGGGAGUUAUGGAUAAUGCAGUUACUUUCUCUGCCUCUCUUUACUUCGUCUUCCGGUCUUCCUCUUGCGCUACUCUUACUGCAAGUAUUUCUUUCUGUCUCUUACCUACUCUUUCUUAGUCAUUCUCUGUCCGUCCGUCUGUCUGUCUGUCUCCCUCCCGUUCUCUCUUUAUUAUCUCAUGCGUAAGCUGAAUGCAUAAGUUGAAUGCAUAAGCUUUUCAGCAAGAAAUACUCAUGUAUAAAAUGCAUCAUGAUAUACUGUAGGUUACACAUACAAUGCAUCCUCUCCACUGUUUUUACUGUGUCGUCUGAAUCCACAUCUGUGGGUGUAGCCUUCAUUUUGGACAUGAUGUGUAACUUGCCUUGCUAUUUUUGAGUCGGUACAAUAUAAAUCACCGCCACCCUACAUGUCACAUUUAGUUGUUAUCUUAAAAGUAAGGCCCUCUGUGUAAAUCCAUGUCAGUUUAAGCACUACAUGGUUGCCAUCCAAAUUACAUUUGGAGAGUUUGGGGUGGAAAACGUUGCUCCCAGAGUCUGGUUGGUUAGGAAGAAAGAGGACCAGAGAUAGAUGGGGAGGUAGAUUGAGGGAAUUUACAACUGACCAUCUGAGGACAAUACAAAUGACAUCUGGACACAUUGCACUUUAAGAGAGAGAAAUAAUACAGUGAGACAAAACAGUGUGGUUGACUGGGAGAGAAAGAUUGAGAAUUGGAUGGAUUGGAUUGGAUGCUGACUUGGAAGGAAGGAAAGAGAUACAAAUAUAUUUAAUUUGGAUUUGAAUGGAACAUGCUACCUAUUAACUGCUAAUGGAGUUGGUAGAAGAGAGAGGCUGGAGGUAUCAGGCAGGGACAUUUACCAAAAUGAGAGAAGAGUUUGUAAUAUUUCUAAAGUGCCCAAGAAUCAACUUCUACAACUUCUAAGAUGUAUUCUCCACAACUGUUCCUUCUUUUCCUGUGCUGUCUUCCUUUGGCAGCAACUCUGUGCUGUUACACAUGUUUCCUGCCAUCUCUCCUAUGGACUGCCUCAAGUUCCCUCAGGAGUGUCCUGCCGGGCAACGCUGACGAGCUAGCACAGCAGUGGAGAUGCAAGGCUCCCUGCAUCUGGUCCUGUAUGAGAAGAACUGUGCCAGUCCCUCUCAAUGUGGUUGAUCUGGGGAGAAACACGCUGCAUGCCUGAACUUCACCUACCAAAAUUACUGUGACACGGACCUGUGCAACGAGGCUAUGGCCCAUGCUGCCCCCAUCUGGAGGGGAGGUGCACUGUGCAUCCUAGUUAUUUUCUCUCUCAUACUAAGCUGAUAUCCAAAUGUAUUGCAUUUUAUAUGUACAUUCCUCAUCACACAGUAACAUGCACAACCUAUACUGUAAUGGGAUGAAUCCCACUAACCCAAAAAAUCUCAUUAUAAACAUACACAGUUUGACACACUGACCGUGCCUUGUUUACAUGUAGGCUUAGAACUCACAUACAAUACACACACACACACAUGCAUCCUAAACAGUAGUGCACAGUCACAGUCACCUGAGGGUAGAAAUGAGUCAUAUGUCUAUUUGAGACAUAUGACAGUGAAACUAGAGGCGAAACAUAAUCCAUAUGUUGAUCAAAUCUGCAUUAAUUUAUAAGAACAUUUGUUUAAAUAAGGGUUAAUAUGGCUUUCUAACUAUUCUACUUUUCUAUGGUGCUAUAUUUAGCAUAACUGUUGAAAAAGGAUUGGCAGCCAUUAAUAAACAAACAAGUAAAGAAACAGUAACCAAUUGUGGUUUUAUUUUGACCGUCUUUUCAGGAUGAUUAAAACCUACAAAAGAAAUACUAAGUUUGAUUGUCAUUGACUCAAUGUACACAACAUUAUCUAGGUUAAGUGCUAUUGCCUUCGAAUAAAAUUGAAGGUGAAGUAAAGGGCUAAAAUACGUGGAGGAAAGAAUGCAUCAAAAGUUAGGAAGAAAAUAAAAACAAAAAU